UUAAACACGUACUCCCCUCUACUUUUAAUUUACACCUCAACUACUAAAACUUAGAGUAAUAAAACUAUUAAAAGAAAUCAAUUGCUCUCAUUUUUCAGAAGAAAAGUCGUCUCCCUCUUCUAUCUCUCUAAACCCAAAAAUUCUCAGAAGAACACACCCAAAUUUCGUUUGAUGAACAAAACUAAAAAUCUCUAAUUCACCUCCCCCAUUUCUUUUCCCAAGUUGAAACGUGCAAAGACAAAACACACACGCACUAACAUCAUGAAAUUUACAACACGCUCCGUCGUCGGUCAGCGCCUCCGUGUCGCUCAGGCGGCCUCGACUUCGUUCGAAACAGCUCUGUUUCUACCCCGAUUAUCCCAGCAGAUAAGUUCUUAAAUUGAGUUCGUGAAUUACAGCUUGAAUCUUUGGUUUAGAUUGUUCAGAUUAUCAAUUUGAUUGAGCGAGAAACAUGCUAUGCAGUUCAUGGAUUGAAGAAUUGAAUUGGGGAAGAAGAUUAUACCUUCAAAAGAACAAUUGGCUUGAAACAGAAGAAGAUUGAAGCUUCUGGCCCUUUUUUCCUUUUUACUGCUCCCUCCGCCGGUUUUUUUUUGAAAGAUUUGCAAGAAGGAGGAGCGGUUAUGAGCGUGGGAAAGGGAACGUAAAACAGGUAAUUGAUUCCCAAACCAAUAGGAAUUAAAGGUUGAUGGAUGAUCUGAUUUUGGAGCAGAUUGAAGAAUUGGAGAAAAAGAACGUGUAGUUGAUUUCACAUUUAAUUUGGACUCUAAUUGUUGCCUUUGACAAAUUCUCAAAUUGUAUAUUAAUUUGCUGAUUGGGAGAAGAAAUAAGGCAGAUUUGGAGAGGAGGAACUCGGCUGAUCUUCUAAUUUCUUGGAGUUAUUUAGCACGAUUAAUUUGUUUGGGCCCACAUCAUUUGUAUUUUAUUUACAUUAUAUAGCCCAUAAUUUAUUUUCUACCAGACUGGGCUUUAGUAAUAUUUAUUCAAUUUAUCGGAUCCAACACGAAAUUGAGUCCAAUAAAUAUUCCUCACGGAAAGGAAUUAUUUAAA